GAGGAAUAAGCAUCGGCUAACUCCGUGCCAGCAGCCGCGGUAAUACGGGGGAUGCAAGCGUUAUCCGGAAUCAUUGGGCGUAAAGCGCCUGUAGGUUGUUUAAUAAGUCUGUUGUUAAAGACUAGGGCUCAACCCUAGGAAAGCAGUGGAAACUACUAGACUUGAGUAUGAUAGGGGUAGAGGGAAUUUCUAGUGUAGCGGUGAAAUGCGUAGAUAUUAGGAAGAACACCGGUGGCGAAGGCGCUCUACUGGAUCAUUACUGACACUCAGAGGCGAAAGCUAGGGUAGCAAAAGGGAUUAGAUACCCCUGUAGUCCUAGCCGUAAACGAUGGAUACUAGAUGUUGCGUUUAUUAUGCAGUAUCGUAGCUAACGCGUUAAGUAUCCCGCCUGGGGAGUACGCUCUCAAGGGUGAAACUCAAAGGAAUUGACGGGGGCCCGCACAAGCGGUGGAGCAUGUGGUUUAAUUCGAUGCAACGCGAAGAACCUUACCAGGGCUUGACAUACUACAAAUUCUUUUGAGAAAAAGAAGUGCCUUCGGGAAUGUAGAUACAGGUGGUGCAUGGCUGUCGUCAGCUCGUGUCGUGAGAUGUUGGGUUAAGUCCCGCAACGAGCGCAACCCUUAUUUUUAGUUACUAAUUCGUUAGGUUCUCUAGAAAGACUGCCGGUGACAAACCGGAGGAAGGUGAGGAUGACGUCAAGUCAGCAUGCCCCUUAUGCCCUGGGCUACACACGUGCUACAAUGGCUAAGACAAAGAGUCGCGAGCUUGCAAGAGUCAGCUAAUCUCAUAAACUUAGCCUAAGUUCAGAUUGUAGGCUGCAACUCGCCUGCAUGAAG
rnacentral:rRNA from 1 species